rnacentral:rRNA from 1 species
CUAGCGACUUCAGAGUUUGAUCCUGGCUCGAGGACGAACGCUGGCGGCGCGCCUAACACAUGCAAGUCGAACGAGUGGAUGGUCUUCGGACCUGAAGCUAGUGGCGGACGGGUGAGUAACACGUGAGGAACCUGCCUUCCAGAGUGGGAUACCGUUUGGAAACGAACGUUAAUACCGCAUAAUGUAUAUUGAUCGCAUGGUCGAUAUACCAAAGAUUUAUCGCUGAGAGAUGGCCUCGCGUCUGAUUAGAUAGUUGGUGAGGUAACGGCCCACCAAGUCUACGAUCAGUAGCCGGACUGAGAGGUUGAUCGGCCACAUUGGGACUGAGACACGGCCCAG